rnacentral:rRNA from 1 species
UACGUAGGGUGCGAGCGUUACUCGGAAUUACUGGGCGUAAAGCGUGCGCAGGCGGUUCGUUAAGUCAGCUGUGAAAGCCCCGGGCUCAACCUGGGAACUGCGGUUGAAACUGGCGAACUAGAAUCUGGCAGAGGGGGGUGGAAUUCCACGUGUAGCAGUGAAAUGCGUAGAGAUGUGGAGGAACACCGAUGGCGAAGGCAGCCCCCUGGGCUAAGAUUGACGCUCAGGCACGAAAGCGUGGGGAGCAAACAGG